AGGGAGAGAAAUGAGAGCAGUGGUAGUCCAUAAUAAUAGUGACGUUGCUUCAAUGAUGUUCGCCGAAGAAACGCCGGAGUAACAUUAACCCGUCCAAAUCUGGACACAUCCAAUUGAUACAUUAAAAGAGAAGGUUAAAGGAGAGUGAAAGAGGAAGGGGAUCAAGGGGGCUGGCGGCAUUGUGGUGCAGCUGUAGGUAGUGUUUGGCCAUUUGUCGGUCAUCACCUCCGGUAAAGUAGCAGCGGCUGGUGACUUGUGAUUCUGAACAGGCUUGGUUCGAGAUGAGGGAAGGCAGAUCGACGGGGGGAAAAAAGAGAAGGAAGAAGCGUGUGGCAGAGCUUCGGUGGCUAGAGCGUGAGGGAG
rnacentral:lncRNA from 1 species